rnacentral:rRNA from 1 species
GAUCAUGGCUCAGGAUGAACGCUGGCGGCGUGCUUAACACAUGCAAGUCGAACGAAGCACUUUAUUACGAUUUCUUCGGAAUGACGAUUUAGUGACUGAGUGGCGGACGGGUGAGUAACGCUGGGUAACCUGCCUUAUACAGGGGGAUAACAGUUAGAAAUGACUGCUAAUACCGCAUAAGCGCACAGGAUUGCAUGAUCUGGUGUGAAAAACUCCGGUGGUAUAAGAUGGACCCGCGUCUGAUUAGCUGGUUGGUGAGGUAACGGCUCACCAAGACUGCGAUCGGUAGCCGGACUGAGAGGUUGAACGGCCACAUUGGGACUGAGACACGGCCCAGACUCCUACGGGAGGCAGCAGUGGGGGAUAUUGCGCAAUGGGGGAAACCCUGACGCAGCAACGCCGCGUGAAGGAUGAAGGUCUUCGGAUUGUAAACUUCUUUUAUUAAGGACGAAGAAAGUGACGGUACUUAAUGAAUAAGCUCCGGCUAACUACGUG